ensembl:lncRNA
UAUAACUUUUUAUAUUAAAAACAAAAAGCAAGCCCAUCCCAGAUAAGAAAAAGUAAUGCAAAAGUAACGUUGAAAUAUUGAACGUUGAAACAAUGUUGUAAUGCAUUACUAUUAAAAGUAACUUUCCCCAGCACUGCAUAACAGCUUUCUGAAUCUUUCUGUCGCCAUGCUGAUAAUCAUCUUUCAUCUUUACUCUUUUCAGUUGGCAUGUUGGAUUGUAUGUGCAUGCUGUCUGCUGUACAACAUCGUCAUUUUCAUCCCACCUGCAUGCUACUUCUGUGUGCGCACCAUUAAUGUCAUCAUGGGUGAAAACUGUGAUGCCACUAACCCUCCGAUUCUCUCCUACAAGAAGCACAGAAGCUGCAAGCGUGAUUCCGUCUCCGAUCCGUGGCGGGAUGUGGAGCAUCUCCGAGCGGCGUUAGAGGUGGAGCGCAGUCGUAACCAGCAGGCUCACCGGCGCUUCUCUCUGGAGCUGCGGAGGCAACGUGAGGAGGCGCGUGAGGAGCGGGAGCGAGCGCUGAGGGAGCUGACCUACCAACACGAGCAGCAGAAGACGCUGGAGCUGCUGAGGCAGCGGGAAGCUCUGGACCGAGAGCGUGCGGCGGAGGUCCGGCGUCUGUUACGCUGGCGGAGUCAGGAGUUGAAACAUAGCGAGAACUUGACGCUCAGGCAAACCCAAGAAGUGUAUCAUAAGCUAGCGGAUGAGAUCGCGGGUGGAUCUGCAUUUCAAGGUCUCAAACUUGGAUGUAAGGGCAACGGGGCGGCGUAUCGCAAACUUGAGGAACUCUUGAAUACUCUGCUUGCUCAGUCAGAUGGACAGCAGGUCGCUGUCCUUCAGCUUCUCCAAGAGGAAGUGGAAUUAGAGAAGAGCUACUUCCUGUGCCACCAGCUGGAAGCCCACAGCGGGACGUCCCGUGUUGUGAAACGAUCCAGGCCGAGGUCGAAGAGUUGCGUGCAUUUUCUCCUGCAAGGCCAAAACCUCCCGGAAUCCUGUAAGGAAGGAAAACUCGCUCUAUUUCGCUCUUGUUCGCUAUCCCAGACAUCCCAAAGUGAAUUGUCUCAACCUAUGAAGAAGAAAAAGAAGCAGAACUGCGAAACAUCUCCUCUCAGCUCAUCUCCAACUGAGGAAGAGGAUUUACCUGAGCCGUGUUCAUCUGAUGAAGGAUUGGAGAAGUGCUCACCAUCCAGAUGUUCAGAGGACAAUAUGGAUGAUCUGGUAAGAACUUUAUGGAUGUUUAUGGAUUUUUGUUGUUUUCUUCUUCAGGGCAGUCCUGAACGUUUUUUUUAAGUGCUCAAGCAGGAUUUCAUGCAUUGUUGUGUUCAGAAAUGUGUCAUAAUUUGUUACUUAAAGGAGCCAUGUGUAAUG